rnacentral:rRNA from 1 species
AGUGAACGCUGGCGGCAUGCCUAACACAUGCAAGUCGAACGGCAGCACAGUAAGAGCUUGCUCUUACGGGUGGCGCGUGGCGGAAGGGUGAGGAAUACAUCGGAUAACACUUUUACGUGGGGGAUAACGUAGGGCAACUUCUGCUAAUACAGAAUAUGUCGUACGGGUGUAAGCAGGGGUUAUUCGGACCUUGCGUGAUUGUAAGAGCCGAUGUCGGAUUAGAUAGUUGGCGGGGUAAAGGCACACCAAGGCGACGCUACGUAGCUGGUCUGAGAGGAUGAUCAGCCACACUGGAACUGAGACACGGUCCAGACUCCUACGGGAGGCAGCAGUGGGGAAUAUUGGACAAUGGGCGCAAGCCUGAUCCAGCCAUACCGCGUGAGUGAAGAAGGCCUUCUGGUUGUAAAGCCCUUUUGUUGGGAAAGAAAAACAGCAGGUUAAUACCCCGCUGUUCUGACGGUACCCAAAGAAUAAGCACCGGCUAACUUCGUG